GACGAACGCUGGCGGCGUGCUUAACACAUGCAAGUCGAACGGAAAGGCCUCUUUCGGGGGGUACUCGAGUGGCGAACGGGUGAGUGACACGUGAGUAACCUGCCCUUGACUUUGGGAUAACUUCAGGAAACUGGGGCUAAUACCGGAUAGGAGCUCCUGCUGCAUGGCGGGGGUUGGAAAGUUUCGGCGGUUGGGGAUGGACUCGCGGCUUAUCAGCUUGUUGGUGGGGUAGUGGCUUACCAAGGCUUUGACGGGUAGCCGGCCUGAGAGGGUGACCGGCCACAUUGGGACUGAGAUACGGCCCAGACUCCUACGGGAGGCAGCAGUGGGGAAUAUUGCACAAUGGGUGGAAGCCUGAUGCAGCAACGCCGUGUGCGGGAUGACGGCCUUCGGGUUGUAAACCGCUUUCGCUCAUGACGAAGCUUUGUGUGACGGUAGUGGGUAAAGAAGCACCGGCUAACUACGUG
rnacentral:rRNA from 1 species